GGGCCCACUCGGCCGUUUGGCGGGAGGGAGGGGCUUUGCGCAGGCCCCGCUCCCGCCCCGCCUCCAUGCGGCCCGCCCCGAUUGCGCUGUGGCUGCGCCUGGUCUUGGCCCUGGCCCUCGUCCGCCCCCGGGCUGUGGGGUGGGCCCCUGUCCGAGCCCCCAUCUAUGUCAGCAGCUGGGCCGUCCGGGUGUCCCAGGGUAACCGGGAGGUCGAGCACCUGGCACGCAAAUUCGGCUUCGUCAACCUGGGGCCGGUGGGUGGGACCGGGAUGGACGGGAAGUUGGGGCUUGGAGGGGACUGGACGACCCUAGACCCCAACAAGUGGGAGGGAGCCCACAAGGUCUCCUAAAUAUCAAGAACCCCAGCCCACCCCUGCCUCAGCCAAGCUCAGCCUCUGGGACUCCCAGAGAGCACCUGCUGGGGAAGGACAAAGAAGGGGGCUGUUACCGGCCCUCGGGGGCUCCAGCAGGGGAGCCGGGUCCCAUCGGUGCGGCCGCUUCCCCACAUCCCCAGAUCUUCCCUGACGGGCAGUACUUUCACCUGCGGCACCGGGGCGUGGUCCAGCAGUCCCUGACCCCGCACUGGGGCCACCGCCUGCACCUGAAGAAAAACCCCAAGGUGCAGUGGUUCCAGCAGCAGACGCUGCAGCGGCGGGUGAAGCGCUCUGUGGUGGUGCCCACAGACCCCUGGUUCUCCAAGCAGUGGUACAUGAACAGCGAGGCCCAACCAGACCUGAGUGUCCUGCAGGCCUGGAGUCACGGGCUGUCAGGCCAGGGCAUCGUGGUCUCUGUGCUGGAUGACGGCAUCGAGAAGGACCACCCGGACCUCUGGGCCAACUACGACCCCCUGGCCAGCUACGACUUUAAUGACUACGACCCGGACCCCCAGCCCCGCUACACCCCCAGCAAAGAGAACCGGUGUGCGGAUGCUGGACGGUACCAUCACCGAUGUCAUCGAGGCCCAGUCGCUGAGCCUGCAGCCGCAGCACAUCCACAUUUACAGCGCCAGCUGGGGUCCCGAGGACGACGGCCGCACGGUGGACGGCCCCGGCAUCCUCACCCGUGAGGCCUUCCGGCGUGGCGUGACCAAGGUGAGUGGCAGCCUGAGGAGGGCAGGGGUGGCAGGCCAGGCCGACACCCUCUCCCCGCCCCUCCUGGUUUCCCAGGGCCGCGGCGGGCUGGGCACGCUCUUCAUCUGGGCCUCGGGCAACGGCGGCCUGCACUACGACAACUGCAACUGCGACGGCUACACCAACAGCAUCCAUACGCUCUCCGUGGGCAGCACCACCCAGCAGGGCCGCGUGCCCUGGUACAGCGAAGCCUGUGCCUCCACCCUCACCACCACCUACAGCAGCGGCGUGGCCACCGACCCCCAGAUCGUCACCACGGACCUGCAUCACCGGUGCACGGACCAGCACACGGGCACCUCGGCCUCAGCCCCACUGGCAGCCGGCAUGAUCGCCCUAGCGCUGGAGGCCAAGUAGGUGACUGUGGGGCCCCGCCCACCGCCCUCGCCCCCAGGCGCGGCCCAGCGGCUCACCCGCCCCCGCCCCCCGCAGCCCGUUCCUGUCGUGGAGAGACAUGCAGCACCUGGUGGUCCGCGCGUCCAAGCCGGCGCACCUGCAGGCAGAAGACUGGAGGACCAACGGCGUGGGGCGCCAAGGUGCGGCGGGGCCGGGCGGGGGCGGGGACCCCGGGCCCACGGGGCGAGUGACUGCUGCCCUUCCGCGCAGUGAGCCAUCACUACGGCUACGGGCUGCUGGACGCCGGGCUGCUGGUGGACACCGCCCGCACCUGGCUGCCCACCCAACCGCAGAGGAAGUGUGCCGUCCGGGUCCAGAACCGCCCCACCCCCAUCCUGCCGCUGAUCUACAUCAGGAAAAAUGUAUCGGCCUGCGCCGGCCUCCACAACUCCAUCCGCUCGCUGGAGCACGUGCAGGCGCAGCUGACGCUGUCCUACAGCCGGCGCGGAGACCUGGAGAUCUCGCUCACCAGCCCCAUGGGCACGCGCUCCACACUAGUGGCCAUACGGGACGUUGUACCGCUACACGCUGCUGCUCUAUGGGACGGCCGAGGACAUGACAGCACGGCCUACAGGCCCCCAGGUGACCAGCAGCGCGUGUGUGCAGCGGGACACAGAGGGGCUGUGCCAGGCGUGUGAUGGCCCCGCCUACAUCCUGGGACAGUUCUGCCUGGCCUACUGCCCGCCGCGGUUCUUCAACCACACAAGGCUUGUGACCGCCAGGCCUGGGCACAUGGCGGCGCCCGCGCUGAGGGUCUGCUCCAGCUGCCACGCCUCCUGCUACACCUGCCGCGGCGGCUCCCCGAGGGACUGCACCUCCUGUCCCCCGUCCUCCACGCUGGACCAGCAGCAGGGCUCCUGCGUGGGACCCACCACCCCCGACAGCCGCCCCUGGCUUAGAGCUGCCUCCUGUCCCCACCACCGCUGCCCAGCCCUGGCCAUGGUGCUGGGCCUCCUGGCCAUGACCCUCGGAGGCCCCGUCCUCUGCGGCAUGUCCAUGGACCUCCCACUAUACGCCUGGCUCUUCCGUGCCAGGGCCACCCCCGCCAAACCCCAGGUCCGGCUGCCAGCUGGAACCCGAAGUUGUCAGCUCAGAAAGCGACCUUGCCCCCGCCUGGGUCCCUGACAGGCACUGCUGCCAUGCUGCCUCCCCAGGCUGGCCCCAGAGGAGGGAGCACCAGCCCCCGACGCCUGGCCUGCCAGGGGUGGGCCCCAUGGAAUCCCGCAGCCUGGCGGGAGAGAGAGAGAGAAGUCUCCUCUGCAUUUUGGGUUUGGGUGGGAGUGGGCUGUGGGGAGAGGCUGGAGCACCCCAAAAGCCAGGGGAAAGUGGAGGGAGAGAAACGUGACACUGUCCGUCUCGGGCACCGCGUCCAACCUCAGAGUUUGCAAAUAAAGGUUGCAUAGAAGGUG
rnacentral:sRNA from 1 species